CUUUCUUAGUUUGCUAAAUUUGCUGCUGCUGCCUGUACCUUCAAAUAUCUUGAUAGAGUUCAUCUCUCUUGGCUCAGGUCUCGCUACCUUCCUAGGUUGCUCUUCCCCCCCCCCCCCACUUUCCCCCGCCUCUCCUCAGUUCUGCUCUCUUUUUGUUUUAAAAGUUAAAAGUUAUAGUUUUUACAGAAACCUCCAAAAGACAAAGCAAUUGAAAACAGAAUAAAACAAGAAACAAAAACAAAACAAGGUUUCCACGUGAUAACUGGAAUUGCCCUAAUAGGAGUGUGUUUCUAUCUGUGUCACCCAAGUAAAAGGGCCAGAGUACAACACCGGACUAGAAAAACAUGGUUAUGCUUUGCAAUAAAUCUAGUCGAAGUGA